GACGAACGCUGGCGGCGUGCUUAACACAUGCAAGUCGAACGGAAAGGCCCUGCUUUUGUGGGGUUCUCGUUUGGCGAACGGGUGAGUAACACGUGAGUAACCUGCCCUUGACUUUGGGAUAACUUCAGGAAACUGGGGCUAAUACCGGAUAUGAGCUCCUGCUGCAUGGUGGGGGUUGGAAAGUUUCGGCGGUUGGGGAUGGACUCGCGGCUUAUCCGCUUGUUGGUGGGGUAGUGGCUUACCAAGGCUUUGACGGGUAGGCGGCCUGAGAGGGUGACCGGCCACAUUGGGACUGAGAUACGGACCAGAAGCCUACGGGCGGCAGCAGUGGGGGAUAUUGCACAAUGGGCGGAAGCCUGAUGCAGCAACGCCGCGUGCGGGAUGACGGCCUUCGGGGUGUAAACCGAUUUCGCCUGUGACGAAGCGUGAGUGACGGUAAUGGGUAAAGAAGCACCGGCUAACUACGUG
rnacentral:rRNA from 1 species